rnacentral:rRNA from 1 species
CACAAGCAGUGGAACAUGUGGUUCAAUUCGACGCUACGCGAAGAACCUCACCAGGGUUUGACAUAUAGGUAGUAGGAACCUGAAAGGGAGACGACUCGUUAAGCCGAGUGCCUAUACAGGUGUUGCAUGGCUGUCGUCAGCUCGUGCCGUGAGGUGUUGGGUUAAGUCCCGCAACGAGCGCAACCAUCAUCCUUAGUUGCUACCGAGGGAUCCGAAAGGGUCCUGGCGAGCACUCUAAGGAGACUGCCCGUGAUAAACGGGAGGAAGGUGGAGAUGACGUCAAGUCCGUAUGGCCCUUAUACCCUGGGCUACACACGUGUUACAAUGGGAUGUACAGAGCGUUGCCAAACCGCGAGGUGGAGCUAAUCGCAAAAAGCAUCCCCCAGUUCAGAUUGGAGUCUGCAACCCGACUCCAUGAAGUUGGAAUUGCUAGUAACGGCGGAUCAGCUACGCCGCCGUGAAUACGUUCCCGGGCCUU